GGGACUGGGAGGAAGGUCAAACAUCAGGUGACCACUUCCGGGUUGGCUUUUGGUGUGGCUCUAGCGAUACUGUCAUAACAUGGUGGAGAAGCGGAAGCGGAAGUGAGCGCAUGUGAAGACACAAAACAAGAGAAGCACCCUUGCUUCUAACAAUCCACGCUCAUGGUGACUACAUGGAGGCCAUGCAAUGGGACAGAAGAGCUAAGAAAACCAGGCAGUGUCUGAAUGAUCAGGACCCAAACUCACUAAGAAUCCAUGCACCUGGGUAAACUUCUUUAGGUGAUGAGCUUAAAAUAAUUUUCCAUGGAAGAACCUAAUUGAAAGUUGUUCCGGUGUUGAGGGUGUCAGCAGAAACUACAUGAGAAGAUAUGAUAGAAAUACAAAGAAAAAUUUUAGAGGAGUGACAUAUCUAUAUUUUUCUUGGUCAAGAAGAUAAAAAAGUUUGGAAAUCUUAAAUUAUCAGGGGAUAUAAAAGGUAAAGCUUGAAUUUUGCUGCCAAAUUUUAGAUUUUUUCAAGCUUUUGAUGCUUGUGUGACACCCUUCUAGUUUAAAGAAAGAUGAAAAGGUAUUGAUUUGCCAACAAAAAAGAUCAAAAGGUAUUGAUUCUGCCAACAUACUGGGAGAGACAAGGAUAGGCGUAUGAGUCAUUUUCAUGUCUAGUCCUACUUUACCUAGUUUAGUUAUAGGAAUUUAUUCAUUUCAAAUUAAGACAUAAUGGAUUUGUGGAAAAGUACAAAAGAUAUCUGGAGAUGAUUAAUGUAAGAGUCCUUAGAAAACAUAAGAGCAUCCUAGCCACUUUGGCUAAUGUGAAUAGAUGUUAUUUAUUCAGUUAGGAAAAGAGAGAGACAUGUUCAGGUAUUUAGGACACUAUAGGCCAGGCUUGGUGUGUUUUAGAGAUCAGCAUUUAGCCUGUGUUAGAGCUCAUGAAGUGUGGAUUAUAUUCUCCAUUUUAUUGAUAAGAAAACUGAGACAUUAAAAAAAAUUACAUCUCUGGGAUUUACUUCAAAAUACUCCAGGGGCAGGGAUGAGAAAUUUCAUGGAGGGUGCAGAUGAAACAAGAUAGGCUAUGAACUGAUAAUUAUUAAAGUUGGGUGAGGGGAACAUGAGGCUUCAUUACACUACUCUAUUUCUUUUUAUGUAUUUGAAGUUUUCCAAGCAAAAAAUUUUUAUUUACUUCUAUUUUUGAGAGUG